UUGGGGUUUGUCUCUCUGGGCGUUUCAAUUUUGCUCUCAGUAACCUCACAGUUCACUGCUGGAAAACAUCUGCAGCCGUCAUGAAGAUCCCAACUGCUGCUGAGGAGAUUGUGAUCCUGAGUGGAGUUGUUGGGAGAAACCUGACGCUGCCUGAUCCUGUGAGGAACUCUGGGUUUUUUAAGCAUGGAGACAGUAUUGUUGGGCGAGUGUACCCGGGACUUUUCAAUUUUAUGGAUAAAAAUUACAAAAACAAAAUUCACUGGAAUAGCAGCAAUGGACGUUUCACACUCAUUGACCUACAACACAAUGACUCAGGAAGUUAUACCAUUGAUCCAAAGAAUGAAGGCACUCUAAAAACAUAUAAUGUCACAGUGUAUGACCCCGCACUGACUCCUGUUAUCCAACGUCUGAAUGGAAGCUCCAGCAGCUGCUUGUUGUCGUGUUCGGUGGACAGCGAGACCAAUCUGCAGAUUAUAAAGGAUGACCAGACUGUGAACGAGACCAGAUCUAAGUCACUGCCGUUCUAUGUGCAAGAAACGGACUUUAACUCAACUUACCAAUGUGUUGCAUCCAACCCUGCAGAGAACAGGACUGAGAACAUCAACGUCACCGUAUGGUGCAGAAAGGACACCAGUGACACAACAGACAAUCUGAAGAUUUCGAUUCUGGUUGGGCUUGUGUUAUUAUUAUUUGGGGUUGGGGUUGGUAUUGGUGUUUAUUGUUGCAAGAGACACAAGAGACUCAAUCAUGCACAAGGUACUUCUUGAUAUUUUUAUUUCAUUUUAACGCACCUUUUGUAAUAUAUUUCUUUAUGAUUCUUGAUAGAAAAAAAUUAUAAUUAACAGCUCGUUUGGAGUUCUAACCAUAAUUUUUUUUAGGAUGAUUUUUAUUCUCAUAAUCUCAUGUCUCCUACUUAAUAAGAAUUACAUGCAGAAACCAAAUUAACUUUAUUCAGAAACACUUUAAAACCAGAACAAACAUCAUUUACCAGCAUUAAAAACACAUAAAAAUGUUAUAAAGUAACUUGAACAAAUGAAGUACACUCUUCCCUACUGGGUCAAAAUUCAGAGUUCAAUCUAUUUCAUUAAAUCUCUAGUUGACUUUAAGUCUAAGCAUUCCUGGGGUGAGAAGUGGUCAGUGGAAACUUGAUCUGCAGGAUCUCCAAUCAUCAAACACCACAUAUUCUGUUUUACAAAAAUAAAACCCAGAACAGGCCGAGUUUUAUCAGUCAGUAACAAUAAAGCGUAACGACACAGACAACAACGUUAACAGUUUUAUCCUAAUAAAAUAAUAAUAGAUUACAUGUUAGGCUUUCUAUGUCGCUCUCUCACCAGUUAUUAUGUUAUUAUGGUAACACAUAAUGAAAAUGAAGAUUCUUGAAUAGCAGCAGAUAUUAUAGAGACUCAAUGUUUCUUCUGCAUAUCUCUAAAGAGGAGAUGGAUCAUGAUCAUGGCUACCAUUCACAACCAGACGCUUAGAAAAGUCCACAACAUGGACCCGAGUCCAGCUGCUACAACCGAGUCUGGAUUUAUUAGUUAGAGACAGAUUACUGUUCCGGGCAAUGAUGCAAACCUUAAAAUAGAUACUUGUUUAUAAAAUAAAGAGUCAUAUUGUUGGGGGAAACAUUAAAACACUUUCUAGGCCCUGUGUGAUGAUAGCAGUGGAUCAUCUGGAGAGGUUAAAGCAACAGGCCUAAAAUCCUUCAAGGAUCCAGGGUUUAAAAUAUUGUUGAAACUGGAGCAAUAAUUGACUUUUCAGAACCGUGGAAACUUGUGUUUCUGGAGUGAUGAGAGAAGAAAAUAAAAGAUGCUGCAGACAUUUCAGGCACUAUGUGGUCCACAUGGUACCAGACUCUGGACAUUUAUAAGACUCGUCAAUUUGAAACGAUUUUCCACCUUUCUCUCAGGAAAUUAAGCUGGGGAGCCCUGAUACUCUUAGUUGAAGGAACAUAUCACUAAAGCUAAAUACAACAAUAUUUUUGCCCUACUUGUUAGAGUAAAUAACUUUUUUAACCUUUUGUUUUAGAGAUGGAAGAAAGCUUUGGCCAUCCACAGAGCUUCAUCAUGUCUGAGAAUGUUAGAAGAUCCAACCAGCAGCUUAUCUCCAUUUUAUUAAUUAGAAAACCACUGUGAGCAACGCAAAAAGACUUUUACUGGAGAUUGUUAUAGGUUGCUUAUUUAUUUUAUCUCCUAGGUCAUAUAACCUAUUUUCCAUUAUGUCAGCUGAGGCAGCAGAAGUGAAGUCAGUCUCAUCUGUCAUCACUAACUAGCUGGAAGCUGGAAGCCAGUUGUCAAUGAGCUCUCAGUUAAAAGUGACUCAGGUACUUCUUAAAUAAUCCACUGCAAAAUAAUUAGAUGUUUAUUCAAGGCAGAUAAAUACAGGAAGGACCAAUUAUAGCCACAAAAAAGCAGGAUUUAUAUAUAGAGUAAAUAUGUGAGGGUUUGAUAAAUCUAAUGUUUGCAUGUAAGUAAUACUGUAGUGAUGCUUUUUCUUUAUUGAUUGUAAACAUUUAGUGGAUGCAGUCUGAUGAUAGUAAUACUGUUAUACAAGCUGACAAUCAAAUUAUACGAGUUGCUUUAAUUUCUGCAAAUGACUUUAAGUUUCAGAUGUUCUACAGCCUUUAGUGUUAAAAUAAAAUCUGCUGUCAGGUAAUCUAGUCAACAUGUUGGCAGCUUUUUAUUUUAAUUAUGGAUCAAACACAAAGAAAGUACAGAAACAGAUUCUAAGGUGGCUUUUUAGCUCCUAAUGAGAAAGUUGCUUCUUGGUUGGAAUAUUGUCGUCUUUGAUCUGUGAUAAAACUUUUCUAAUAGAACCUUGUUUCUUAUUCUGUAAAACUUCACUGUUGCUGUUCAAAUUAGAUUUUUAUCACAUUAAAGCUUCAUUGUGUCUCUUGCAGAACCACCCACAGCAGCACAGUCAUCUAAUGGUGAAAACCAUCAGGAAGAAUUGGAGCUGGAGCCGCUCAGACAACCGCCAACGGCUGAUCAGAACCUGAAUCACUGUGAAGCUCAUUAACUGCACUGAAGAAGACUACAAGACUACACUUUUUAAUAGGAUAUAUGUACUGGGUUCUUUCAAGGUCUUCAUUACAUUUUAUGAAUGGGCUCCAGUAAC